UACGUAGGGCGCAAGCGUUAUCCGGAUUUAUUGGGCGUAAAGAGCUCGUAGGCGGCUCGUCGCGUCGACCGUGAAAACCCGCGGCUUAACUGCGGGCUUGCGGUUGAUACGGGCGGGCUAGAGUUCGGUAGGGGAGACUGGAAUUCCUGGUGUAGCGGUGAAAUGCGCAGAUAUCAGGAGGAACACCGGUGGCGAAGGCGGAUCUCUGGGCCUGUUCUGACGCUGAGGCGCGAAAGCUAGGGGAGCGAACAGG
rnacentral:rRNA from 1 species